GAUGAAGAACGUAGCGAAAUGCGAUAAGUAAUGUGAAUUGCAGAAUUCAGUGAAUCAUCGAAUCUUUGAACGCACCUUGCGCUCCUUGGUGUUCCAAAGAGCAUGCCUGUUUGAGUAUCAUUAAAUUAUCAACUGUACCAAUUUGGUUGCAGAUUGGAUGUGGGAGAUUUUGCAGGCUUUUGAUUUCUCUUUGAGAAAACGGUCAGCUCUCCUGAAAUAUAUUAGCAGUGCCUUUGUUGGUUCAUUAGGUGUGAUAAUUUAUCUACAUCUUCACAUGGUACCUUCAUUUGUGUAAAGGUCAUAUUGCUUCUAAUUGUCUUUGGACAUAAAAAAAAAAAAACAUAUAAUUGUAUGGAAAACUUGAUCUCAAAUCAGGCAGGACUACCCGCUGAACUUAAGCAUAUCAAUAAGCGGAGGA
rnacentral:misc_RNA from 1 species